rnacentral:rRNA from 1 species
GACGAACGCUGGCGGCGUGCUUAACACAUGCAAGUCGAACGAAGAGCGAUGGAAGCUUGCUUCUAUCAAUCUUAGUGGCGCACGGGUGAGUAACGCGUAAUCAACCUGCCCUUCAGAGGGGGACAACAGUUGGAAACGACUGCUAAUACCGCAUACGAUCCAAUCUCGGCAUCGGGACGGGAUGAAAGGUGGCCUCUAUUUAUAAGCUACCACUGAAGGAGGGGAUUGCGUCUGAUUAGCUAGUUGGAGGGGUAACGGCCCACCAAGGCGAUGAUCAGUAGCCGGUCUGAGAGGAUGAACGGCCACAUUGGGACUGAGACACGGCCCAGACUCCUACGGGAGGCAGCAGUGGGGAAUCUUCCGCAAUGGACGAAAGUCUGACGGAGCAACGCCGCGUGAGUGAUGACGGCCUUCGGGUUGUAAAGCUCUGUUAAUCGGGACGAAUGGUUCUUGUGCGAAUAGUGCGAGGAUUUGACGGUACCGGAAUAGAAAGCCACGGCUAACUACGUG